UCUCUGUCAGGAUUUUAGUACCGUAUUUUCACGAGCAUAAGGCGCACCGUAUUAAAAGGCACAGUCUCAGUUACGGGGUCUAUUUCUGUAUUCAACACAUACAUAAGGCGCAGUGUAUUAUUGGGCGCAGCAUGGUAAAACAUACGCUAGCUUAAAACAUACGGUAGCAUGCAUGCACGCUAAAACAAUGUUUUUAAAAAGGCAGCGGGAGCAUAACUGAGUUCGGUUGUACUUUAUUGAAGUAUUUAACAAUGUACUCACGUUAUUUUUUGAUCAAUCCUCAUCCACAAAUCCAUCAAAGUCCUGCUGGUGACAGACAACACGGCAAACAUGAUCGUUGCAGCUCAAGUUGGGAAAUUUCGUCAUGUAAAAUGUUUCGCCCACAGUCUGAAUCUCACAUCUCAGCUAGCCUUAAAGGUGCCUACACUCUCCAGGCUUCUGGGAAGAGUCCGAAAAAUAUCAACAUUCUUCCAUCGCAGUACUGUAGCAAAUCACUGAAAGUGAAACAAAAAUGUCUGGGCCUGAAAAAUCACAAGCUAAUAACUGAUGUCUUUACAAGGUGGAACAGUGCAUAUGACAUGGUCGAGAGGUUCUUGGAACAACAACCUGCAGUUUGUGCCACCUUGCUGUCUCCAGAGGUCAGAAAGGGAGAGUCAGACCUCUGCACUCUAAAUGAAACAGAUGUGUCAAAUGCAGAGGAUGCUGUGUGUGCAUUAAAGCCAAUGAGGGAUGCAACCGCAUUGAUGUCAGAUGUCUAAUUGCUCCAAUAAAUGCACAACUCCUGCUAAACAUGACAGACACCAACAGAGACUCACCCAUGAUCCACAAGAUCAAGAAUGCAAUCAAAACAGAUCUGAAGAGGGACAAAAGUGAGGAGGAAAAGAAGAUCCUUGAUACUGCCGCUGCCCUCGAUCCUCGUUUCAAGGGACUGCCUUUUCUCACAGAAGAGGAAAGAUUGGACAUCUACAGAGAAGUGACUGAAGAUGCUGCAUCUUUGGAGAAUGAGAGUGCGCUAAUGAGGACAAAAGUAGAUGAAGCACCUGGGGAACAGAAACUCUUACAGAAGAAACAAAUGUAGAAGAUGGACCCUCUGCUCCAAAAAGAAAAACCUCAUUCAUCCCUGCUUGUGAGUUUGCUGGGACAGUGUUUCAGUGACACUCAAGGUACAAUAGAACCAAAGACCCCUUAUGCCAGGGCUGAAGAGGCAAUGAAGAGAUUCUGUAAAUCGUCACCCCUGCCUCUCACCGAAGACCCUUUAAAUUGGUGGCAUGUCCAUCAGGUCACAUUCCCCCUCCUCUCACACGUCAAAGUGAUACUUGUGUAUCCCAGGCUCGAGCGUGUCUGCAGAGUGGGCGUUCUCUACUGCAGGUGAUGUGGUCACUGCAAACACAAGUGCUCUUCAACCUGGAUAAACUAGUCUUCUUACAGAAGAACGUACCAGUUCCCAAAUGCUGAGCAGUUAGUCUGGUGUGUUAUGUUUGGCUUAUUCAAGAAGUGCCUUUGCCCAGUGCUGCUAUUUUAAACCUCUUUUUUUUUUUCUUUUUUUUUUUUUUAGAUUAGAGCACUGCAGAAUGUUUUGUUUAUGAUGAAGACUGUCCAUUAUCACACAAAUAGGCUAUGCCUGUGAUGUAUAUUUCUGUUUACAAUAUGAUUAAAUGGUAAACAAUGUUAACAUGAUGAUACUGUGAACAAGUGCACUACACGAUAUAUAAGCUAAUGGUUCGAUGCUUCCUGUUGUCUGGUACGGUGCUUAACUAAUAUAUUAGACCAGCUGUCGUAUUGGGGUUAAAGAGCUUCUACAUAUUGGUGUCUUGACCACUGCAGAAACAUAAAAAAAAUAUGUUUGUAAUUACCAAUGCUGUUAAUAGGCAUAAACCUUAUUUUGGUUAGGGGAGUCACAACCCAUCUGUGAUAGCUUGCACUGCAGAAUGAUUCAUGUUAUGUGAGGGUUGUGACAAAUAAUUUUCUCACAAAUAUGUGGGAGGCUAGGCCUAAACAUUAUUUGUUGGUUAAUUUAAUUAUUGAAUGUUUAGACAUUUCAACAUUCAAAUAUGUUCUUUUUCAAAGAGGUUCAAUGCACUUUAUAAACUACUUGACAGUUGGAUAUUUUAGCAUUUGUUGUUAUAAAUACUACUGUUAAAUUUCAUGUUACAUUUGAUGUGUUGAGCCUCAAUUCAUUUCUGUGAUGGGAUAUGAGUCUUAUACUUUAACCAAAUAUGCAAAUACACGUCACGUAUUGAUACGCCAUCUGAACAUUUUCAAAUCUGAAUGAUAUGGGUCAAGAAUCAAGUAUUCUACAAGUUAAAUUCAGUUCAAAGGUCACUGAAUCUUUUGUAUAGGCCUUCAUUAAAAGCUGUCGAUCGAAUACAUCCCCUCAGGUCAAGCCAGGUGGACGGAUAUGGGACCCAUAUUUAAGGCAAAUGCUUGUUGCCACUGUUGUACAGAAGCUUUGCUGCAUAUCUUUGCUUGGCAUCACCAGGCCCAAACUUGCAUACUGCAAUAAAAGCCACGAAAAAUAUUACAGAUUUAUUACAAAUAUGGGAAUUGCUAAUUAAUGGUGUUCUCUUAAAAUGUGUAACAGUUUCUGUACUAUUUAGUCCCUUUUAUUUUAGUGUGCCUAAAAUUUCACAUACCUGAAGAGAGGCGAUGGUGUAUGACCAUUCUGACACAGAGGUUGACGCAGAUGUUUUUGAAGAAAUAGUGAAGGAGUCACCCGGAACCUUCUGAGUCAUCUUGAGCAAUGAAGAACUCGAAGCAACCGCUGCUGAAGGAAGACAACCUAAAAGGUCAUACCACAAAAUGAGGCAAUAGUGUUGCUGGGCCAGGCCAUGGUAAACCCAGAUCCUUCACUGCUGACAAAGUGUUAUCUAAUGAGGAGAUCGAAGCAGCUAUUGCUGUUUUGAAACACACUGCUAAUAAAAACACAGUCCGUGAGAAGAUGAAAGCUACCUUCAGUUAUUGUCAAUCACUGAUCAACAAUGAAAAGAAAGCAGACGAUGUCUUCUCGGUCUUUCGACAGUUUCUGGACAUACCA